rnacentral:tRNA from 1 species
UUAAUUGAAACCAAAAAGAGGUAAAUUAUUGUUAAUAAUUUAAUUGAAUGAAAUUAUUCCAAUUAAU